rnacentral:rRNA from 1 species
CCUACGGGUGGCAGCAGUGGGGGAUAUUGCACAAUGGGGGAAACCCUGAUGCAGCGACGCCGCGUGUGGGAAGACGGUCCUCUGGAUUGUAAACCACUGUCUCCAGGGACGAAAAUGACGGUACCUGGGGAGGAAGCUCCGGCUAAUUACGUGCCAGCAGCCGCGGGAAUCCGUAGGGAGCGAGCGUUGUCCGGAAUUACUGGGGGAAAGGGGAGCGUAGGCGGGGGUGAAGGUAGGGUGUCAAAACUACCGGCUCAACUGGUAGUCGCACUCAAAACUGCAGCUCUUGAGUGAAGUAGAGGCAGGCGGAAUUCCUAGUGUAGCGGUGAAAUGCGUAGAUAUUAGGAGGAACACCAGUGGCGAAGGCGGCCUGCUGGGCUUUUACUGACGCUGAGGCUCGAAAGUGUGGGGAGCAAACAGGAUUAGAUACCCUGGUAGUC